rnacentral:tRNA from 3 species
AGUACUACGCCGGAUGAACGGAAAUCAUUGAUGUUGAUUAAUAUGGGAUUAGGAAAUAUCUUUAGUGCUA